rnacentral:rRNA from 1 species
UUGAAAGGGAAACGAUUGAAGUCAGUCAUACCAACGGGAAAUCAACCUUUUGAGCUCGGUCUCGUGGGUUUUGAAGAGUUUCAAAGCCUUCGGAUUCGCGGGAUUGGGAUCUCUUGGCGUACUUUUUCGUACGGUUAGUCAACAUCGGUUUUGAAUGUCAUAAAAUGACUGGAGGAAUGUAGCUUCGAUCUCGUAUUGAAGUGUUAUAGCCUUUGGUAGAUGUGAUGUUUGAGACCGAGGAUUGCAACGGAUACCCUUCAGGGCUAUUCGUCUGAUCUCUGAUACGUUGCCUUGAUGUUGAAAGCUUGCUUAUGAUGUUAGGGUAUUACGGUCAAAAGGUUAGAACGAAUUACAUUCGUUAAGGAUGUUGACGUAA